GAUGUUCCCGUCCUGGUUUGGGGACGCUGUGGGGACGGUGUCGCUGUGCAGGUGGCAGCGGGGAGGUUUGGGGACAGCCCUGGGAUGGGGACAGUUUCGGUCCCUGGGUGGCACCCGGGUGGGUGUAGGGACAGCCCGGUUCCCCCCCCCCAGUGUCCCCAAACCCGGGGACAAGCCCCGCUCCCCCGGUGGCACGGGGACAGCUCUGUGCCGAGUGUCCCCAGGCUCUGCGUGGAGGGGACAGGUCCGGGUGUCCUGCUGGGCACGGGGACAACCCCACCACGGGGUCCCCAAUGUCCCCAAAUGUCCCCAUGUGGGACAGGUCCCCUGUGUCCCCAAGGUCCCCAUGUGGGGUACGUCCCUAAUGUCCCCAACGUCCCCAAUGUCCCCAAGGUCCCCACGUGGAGUGGUCCCCGGUGUCCCCAAGGUCCCAAUGUGGGGCAGGUCCCCAAUGUCCCCAGUGUCCCCAAGGUCCCCAACAUCCCCAUGUGGGGCAGGUCCCCAAUGUCCCCAAGGUCCCCCUGUGGGGCACGUCCCUAAUGUCCCCAAGGUCCCCAAUGUCCCCAACAUCCCCAUGUGGGGCAGGUCCCCAGUGUCCCCAAUAUCCCCAAUGUCCCCAAGGUCCCCCUGUGGAGUGGUCCCCGGUGUCCCCAACGUCCCCAUGUGGGGCAGGUCCCCAGUGUCCCCAAUAUCCCCAAUGUCCCCAAGGUCCCCCUGUGGAGUGGUCCCCGGUGUCCCCAAUAUCCCCAAUGUCCCCAAGGUCCCCCUGUGGGGCAGGUCCCCGAUGUCCCCAACGCCCCCACCCAGCGCGCGUCCCCGUUGUCCCCGUUGUCCCCGCCUGGGGCAGGUGUCCCUCUACCCCGUCCCCUCCUCUUUGGGGACACUUUGGGGACACUUUGGGGACCGGCUGGCCGGGCAGGUGGCAGGCGGUGCCGGUGCCGUUUAUAGCCCGGAGCCGGUGGGUGGGAGCCGGGCGCAGGAUCCGGCCUGGCACCGGGCCCGGUGGCACCGUCACCGUCACCGUCACCGCCACCCGUGGGGUACGGCCCCGGGGAGAGGGGGGUGGCGGUGAUCCCCCCCCCCC
rnacentral:lncRNA from 1 species